GACAGAGGUGCCGAGCGUUAGGCGGAAUCACUGGGCUUAAAGCGUGUGUAGGCGGAUUGGUAAGUACCUUGUGAAAUCCCACGGCUUAACCGUGGAACUGCUUGGUAUACUGCUUAUCUUGGGCCACUUAGGGGCUACCGGAACAAACGGUGGAGCGGUGAAAUGCGUAGAUAUCGUUUGGAACGCCAAUGGUGAAAACAGGUACUGGGAGUGUGCCGACGCUGAGACACGAAAGCCAGGGGGAGCGAACGGG
rnacentral:rRNA from 1 species